UACAGAGGGUGCGAGCGUUAAUCGGAAUUACUGGGCGUAAAGCGCGCGUAGGCGGCUUUGCAAGUCGGGUGUGAAAUCCCCAGGCUUAACCUGGGAACUGCAUUCGAGACUGCAUUGCUAGAGUAUGGGAGAGGGAAGUGGAAUUUCCGGUGUAGCGGUGAAAUGCGUAGAUAUCGGAAGGAACAUCAGUGGCGAAGGCGGGUCUCUGGGCAGUAACUGACGCUGAGGAGCGGAAGCGUGGGGAGCGAACAGG
rnacentral:rRNA from 1 species